rnacentral:rRNA from 1 species
AGUGAACGCUGGCGGUAGGCCUAACACAUGCAAGUCGAACGGCAGCACAGUAAGAGCUUGCUCUUACGGGUGGCGAGUGGCGGACGGGUGAGGAAUACAUCGGAAUCUACUUUUUCGUGGGGGAUAACGUAGGGAAACUUACGCUAAUACCGCAUACGACCUACGGGUGAAAUCAGGGGAUCUUCGGACCUUGCGCGAUUGAAUGCGCCGAUGUCGGAUUAGCUAGUUGGCGGGGUAAAGGCCCACCAAGGCGACGAUCCGUAGCUGGUCUGAGAGGAUGAUCAGCCAGACUGGAACUGAGACACGGUCCAGACUCCUACGGGAGGCAGCAGUGGGGAAUAUUGGACAAUGGGCGCAAGCCUGGUCCAGCCAUACCGCGUGGGUGAAGAAGGCCUUCGGGUUGUAAAGCCCUUUUGUUGGGAAAGAAAAGCAGCAGGUUAAUACCCCGCUGUUCUGACGGUACCCAAAGAAUAAGCACCGGCUAACUUCGUG